CCUCUGGGGAUUAAAAGGGAAUACGGUAAAAAUCCGUAACUGUUCUCGCAACUGUAAGUAUGGAGCGAGUUUCCAUUAAGCCACUGCUAUUAGCGGGAAGGCGGAAACAAGCAAUGAUAUACAAGUCAGGAGACCUGCCAUUACCA
rnacentral:ncRNA from 1 species